rnacentral:rRNA from 1 species
CCUACGGUGUGCAGCAGUGGGGAAUAUUGGACAAUGGGCGAAAGCCUGAUCCAGCCAUGCCGCGUGUGUGAAGAAGGCCUUCGGGUUGUAAAGCACUUUCAGUGGGGAAGAAAGCCUUGGGGCUAAUACCCUCGAGGAAGGACAUCACCCACAGAAGAAGCACCGGCUAACUCCGUGCCAGCAGCCGCGGUAAUACGGAGGGUGCGAGCGUUAAUCGGAAUUACUGGGCGUAAAGCGCGUGUAGGCGGUCUGAUAAGCCGGUUGUGAAAGCCCCGGGCUCAACCUGGGAACGGCAUCCGGAACUGUCAGGCUAGAGUGCAGGAGAGGAAGGUAGAAUUCCCGGUGUAGCGGUGAAAUGCGUAGAGAUCGGGAGGAAUACCAGUGGCGAAGGCGGCCUUCUGGACUGACACUGACGCUGAGGUGCGAAAGCGUGGGUAGCAAACAGGAUUAGAUACCCGAGUAGUC